UAACGUGAAAUUUGAUACCUUUAGCAAAUGUUUACACAAUUUAACUUUGCUUCUGUCAUCAUGUUUGUAUGAAUCAAAAUACCUUUGGAACAUGUAUAUGACGAUUAAAGCAUAAAAUUCAUACGUAAGGGGAUUUUUAUGUGCUAAUUUUUUAAAUGUUUGUAAAUUAAUGAAUUGGUAUAAGUACAGCAGAUUUGAUAGUAAAUCUGACACCAUAUCGGUAUGUAUCUGUAAACACAGACUUCUAUAUAUCAAAAGAAAGGCUUAGUCUGUAGUUUAUAAAGAUGCAUGUUGUAGUUGUGAAUACCGUGGUACAACAAUGCUUUCCAAGAUGAUGUCUAACACGGCCGCUAAAACUUAUGCGAAGCUUUAACUAUUGCCUACAUAUUCAUAAUGACUAUAAAAUGCAAUUAAUACAGUCAGAACAACAUAAUAAGAUGCAUUUAUGCAUACAAUUACGCUAAUUGCAUGAGUGCUGAAGUUCUGAAUAUGACCAGACUAUCAAGGGAGGUGGACUAUAUACAGGGCUUAUUUACAGCAAAAUUUUCGAGUGGCAAAUUUCACGAUAUCUGGCUGGACUACACUCUGGAAGCUACAGAAAAUAGUUUUAAAGGAUACAGGCGGAAUCAUUGGUCUAAGAUUUAAAGAAGGUGCUUUGGCACAUUGGUUUCUCUCAGCACCAUUAGCAUCCAGAUACUAAACUAUGUGCCGCAAUGAUUUCUGUCACCAAAUUGAAAAGAAUAGACCACAUCAUGCAGACACCAAGGCGAAAAAAACUAAAAUAGAAACGUGAGCACAAUUGUAUCAGUGUUUGACAGUUCGUUUGUUUAAGACAAAACGUUUACUCGAAGCGGCGUGUUGUCGGAAAUCAAUAGCAUAUAUGACCCUAAGGCUUAAUUGUUCUUGUAGUAUUGCCAGGAAGACUCAUUCUCAAAGAACUUGUGCAAAAGACGAUUGAUUGGGAUAAACCUCUCUCGGACACCAAAACGACGCAAUAGGAAAACUUGAAAGUAUCUACCGAGAGUUUACAGAACAUAGAAAUACCUUUGAUGUACUUACCUGUUUCUCUGAGUGUUACCAGGAGAAAGGAGCUGCUACAUGUUAACUAUGCUUCAGAAAAACUUAUGCUGCAGCUGUCUACUUGUUAGCGAUGUCAGAUGACGGUACAUGGUCUAAUUAUUUAUUCUUGGAAAACCCAAGGUUGCUCCAAAAGGUGGACAUAACAAUUCCCUGAUUGAAACUUUGUGUGGUAGUUUUGGCUGUAGAAGUAUUUGAUAUUGUUUCUGUAAAUGUGACCGUCCACUUUGAUAUUGUCUCAUUUUUCACUGACAGCAAGGUUGUUCUCGGAUACAUUCAAAACAAAACUCGUUGACAUAUGUUGGCAAUAGCGUUGACAGGAUUCUGCGGAGUUGUUUUUAUAGCAAAACUGAUAGUAACCCAAUAGACUGUGCUACUACAAACUUUGAGACUUCAUGAAUUAUAGUUGAUAGUUUAUGGCUUCGUGGUCCAGUUGCAACAAUGCUAAACAGGAAGAUGUACCGGAAUGCUUUCCUUUGAUAAAUCUUGAUGUUAACAAAGAGGUUUGUGCUAAAGUGAACACCUUCGUCACUACCACGUCUGAAAGUUUUUCAUUUAGUUCUGGAUGUAGCAGAAUAGUCGUUGUUAUUGCUCUCUUGAAAAAUGUAGCUUGUUCUUAUCCAAGUCGUAUGUCACCUAGUGCUCAAACUCAUGACUUCACGAUAGACACAGAAACGUUCAUUCAACAGCAAGUACAGAACAAUGUAAAUAAGGAAAGGUUACAUUGCUUCAUAAACAUAAGACAAAUUCAGAAGGAUAGUUGUAUUAUUAUGGGUUUUGAAGGUGGGUGUUAGGUUGAGAAAAAAUAACCUGUCGAACCUUGAAAAACAUCCAGUGAUUCUUCCAAUAAAAUAUCAUAUUUCAAAACUUAAAGUGUAUUAUUUUCAUAAUCAAGUCAAUCAUAAAGGGAGAAAUAUAACCGAAAGAGCGCUACGGUCUGCCGGUCUCAGGGUUGUCGGUUCCAAGAAGUUGGUUUCUUCCAUAACAUCUUGUUACCGUCAGAUCGCUUUUCUCCCGGUCCACCCUGUCCUUAUAUUGUUGUAGAUGCGUUCGGACCUUGGGAAGUUGUGAUUCGUCGGACGACAGGAGGCCAUGCUUGUAGUAAACGUUGGGUUAAUAUGUUCACAUACCUUGUGAUAAAAAGUUGCAUAUAGAGGUUGUCGAGUCCAUGAGUGCUUCUUCUUUCAUAAAUGCAAUGCGUAGAUUGAUUGCAAUCAGAGGGUGUUUCCAAGUAGUGCUCACAAGCUAAUUUAUACAGUGAUAUUUUAUAAAAUAUCAGAUGGAGGAGGGUAUUGUGGACCAUAAUCUCGGAUACAUUCAAAAGAUAUUUUAUGCUAUAGACGUUUAAGAAUUCCGUUUGGACUAGUUCCGAAAUAUAACCAAUUGUGCGCUGAAUUAGGGUUAGGUUUAAGGUUAUUAUGUAUGCAUAUCCAUACCAAACUUAUCCAGUUUUGUGAUAUUUACCGAUUUUAUUUUACCCCAUAAUGUUUAAACUUCAUUAAGUAUAUGUAUAUAGAUUUUCAAAAAAUGAGGGACAAUUGUUUUGUCUUCGAGGUGAUACAAAAAUAAUCUAUGUGACAUUUUUCGACAAGUUUGUGAUUUGUUACAUAUUAUAAGUAUAUCUGUUAUUAAACCAUCACAUGUUGUCGUUUUACACUAUGUUUCGGAGCAUUAAUGUUACUACACACGUGUCAAUUUUUAUAUGGAUAUACAUACAAAAACAUAUUUAUUUGAGUGACAUUUUUCGACUUUAAUGCGCUUUCCUCUGCAAUGGUUUUUGUUGUUUAGUCAUCCAUUUGAUUGGUAUUACUCCCUGUGAUUGCAAUUUGUUUGACAAUCGAGUUAUGUUUUGCUCGUGUCAUUGAAGUUACUACUACCAUCGUUCAAAAUGAAACACGUACUAUUCUAACCACCCUCUUUGUCAGUGUUGCCUCUGUCGUUUCUGUUACCACUACCAACGCCGCUGUUAAAGCUAUCGUCAUAAUCGUUACCUCGUCUUCUCGCAGUUCCCAUCCGUCGGUAAAAUAAUUGAACAAGUAAACUAUUUAUUUCAUCAAUUGCAUACAUUAAACUCUCUGGUAUAGUGUAAUCAAGUCCCGCUGC